GACAUGGUAGUAUAUUCCCGUAGUCUCUGCUUCUAGAGAGACUGAAGCUGGUGGAUAGUUUGAGUGUGGGAAAUAUGACAUGCAGUGAGAUAAAUUCCUUUAGAUGUCUGCACUAAGUCUAACACCAAUAUUGUGAGCCCCCAGGAGGAGGGGCCAUUAGACUGUUUAGGGAGAGAUGAAUCAACCAAGUUUGGAAAUGGAGUAGGUCAAAGCUUCUAUGCUAAUGAGUAGUGAGAUUGGGCCAUGAGUAGCUAUUGCAUUUCUAGCCUAAGCAAGAUAGGGAAACCCAGAAUCA
rnacentral:sRNA from 1 species